AAUUUUGAAAAUUUGAACCAUGCCACUCCCGUCACUGCUUCCAUCCUCCUCCCUCACGUCGUCAUCCUCACGCCGGCGUCACUAGCAGAUAACUCACAUCGAGCAGCAGCAGCAGCGAAACCCGGCGAUGGUGGCGGAGACAACAGCACUCCGGCGUGCAUGGGGAGCGGGAGGAGCGGCGGCGGCGGCGGCGGCGACACGGUGCACGCGGGAAGCAGGAGGAGCAGCAGCGGCGGCGGUAUUCAGCGGCAACGGCGACACGGCGCGCGCGGGGAGCAGGAGCAGCCGCCGCCGGCGAAGACGGGCGCGGAGGGGGAUGCGCCGCCUCGUCCUCGCCGCUCGCCGACGCCGCCUUGUCCCUCUCGCCACUCGUCGGCGCCUCGCCUUCUCCUCGUCCUCUCGCCGCUCGCCGGCGUCGCCAUCGGCCACUGUCGUUCCCGCUGCACCAAGCCAUCUCCGGUCGAGCCACUGCGCCACAAGCGUUGCCAUCAUCCCAGUAGCAAGCCCACCGAAGGAAUCGAGCUGAGGCGUUGUCGUUGAGGAGAUCGAGCCUUUCUUCCUCAAGUCCGACCGCCGGCCAUCUUCGUCGAUUCUUCUUUUUCCACCCGAAGGCCGGAGGAACCCGACGCGCUGUCGUCCUGUCGAUUUCCAAUGCCGCCGGAGCAUUUCUCAGUUCGCCGCCGUAGUCCGCUCGCCUCGUCCUCGCCGCUUGCCGGCACUGCCUCGCGUUCUCCCCGUCCUCCAGCACCGCCUCGUCCUCGCCGCUCGCCGGCGCCACCUCGUUCUCUCGCUGUUCGCCGGCGCCGGCGCUAGCUCGCCUUCUCCCCGCGCGCGCACGUGACAGAUUGACGGGGAGGGUGACGACGUGAAAGAGGAGGAUGGAAGAGUGACGGGAGUGGCAUGGAACCAAAUACGUGAAUUGUAAUGGUAUUUUUCUAAUAUGUCAUAUUUGUAA